CUACGGAUAUUACCAACCUUUCUAACCCUUGAAAUCCAACCCUUUUCUUCCAACUUAGUAUCGAUCGAUUGUCCCACCAUGCUUGAUCUCCGUCACCUCGAAUCCCUUCUCGCUGGACGACUUGUCUCCUCCUCUUCUUCGUGCAUUAACCAGGACACAUGACCAAGCCUCCAUCCCUACACCAAUAGAACAGAACCAACCCAACCUUUCAAUCAUAAAGAUCUCAACUUCACAAAUAACGAGAAGUCUCAAAAAGAUCGUCUUUUUCUUUUGUUUAACUGAAAGGAUCCAAGUGUAAAACCAACCUUCUUGAGAGCUCUACGUACGACUCCCGAAGCUAACAGACGCCGAGAGGGAAACAAGAAGCGGUUCCCGAGGAAGGCCGGAACCGAGAGAAAGGGGAGCCAACGAGGGCAGAGCGAGGCAACGGAGAGCGGAAGACAUGGGGCGAGGUCUCAUGCUUGAAGAGCACGAGGAAUACAAAACCCUACACCCUCGUCAAGGGCGACUACCCUGUAAUCCGCCGAUGAGAGCGAGCCCGAAGGCGCCAUGAAUGAUGACGAUGCUACUCGCAUGCUGCUUCCACCACGGGAUGAUGCCAUGGGAAACCGUCGGCCAGUGCGGAUGAGCGGCCGGCCGACGGGAGACGCACAAAACCGGCAACCCAUCCAAGAACGAAGCAAAAUGCGCAAUUAAAAGAAAAUAAUGACGUCUCAAAAAACCCUAUUUAUCAUUGUAGAUUUUCAUAUGGCAUACAAAUAAUUAUAAUUAAUUAAUAUAUUUAAAAGAAAAUGUCUCUAAUAUUUCUUCUCUCAGACUACGGAAGAAAAAAAAAAAGAAAUUAUAAUUAUGUUCUAUCCUCUACUGUCAUUGCUUAGGUUAUUUGCUCUAUCUCACAGACAUGUAUAGCUAAUUAAUCUUUUUAGUUAUGCUUAGUGUGAUGAAUGGAUGUAUUCUUAGAUAGCAGGAAUCUUCUGUGCGUACGUGCUUCGGUCUUGAGCAUGUCAUGUAAUCCUCCACUUCAAGUUUCGAAUCGACUGUUCUGUGGAAGGAGAUUAGUGGAGGUCUUGGAAGCGUGUUGCGAGUGAACAUGAGCAUGGAGAUCAGCAAGGUUAUGGAGUAUGAGGCAACUGCCAAGCAGAAGUUGCCUAGGAUGGUCUUUUGACUACUAUGCCUCGGGCGCAGAGUGCCAAUGGACUUUGAAGGAGAACAGGGCGGCCUUUUCAAUGAUUCUGUUCUGCCGUCGCAUACUCAUUGAUGUCUCCAAGGUUGAUAUGACCACAACUGUACUAGGUUUUAAGAUAUCGACCAUGAUUGCUCCAACAGCAAUGUAGAAGAUGGCCCAUCCUGAUGGUAUGGUUUUCCUGCACCUUGGGUGUCUUUCAUUUGCACCAAGUUUCAGGAUGUAUACAAAUUUUAUUGCCUUUACCAUGUCACUAUCGAAAUCAGCUGGCCUUCUUAGAUUCAUGAUCUGAAGUUGCAACGUGGUAUCCUUUUUUCUUCUGCUUUUAUAUUGUGAAGUGUGGAUGAGUUUUUGAACCACAUGCUUGGAUAUCAUCUAAGAAAUUGAAUUACUGCAUUUAGUUGCUAUUGUCGCCUCAGGCAUAAGUGUCAAGCUAUCUACCAUAUUAAUAUUUUGCAUUGCUGCAUCUUACAAAUGAACCUUCUAAUGUUGAAUCUCUUGUUAUGCCUCAGGAGAGUAUGCUACCGCAAGAGCAGCAUCGGCAGUUGGCACUAUUACAGUUGACUAUUGUUUCUUGUGUUUUUUGUGGUCUAAUAAUUUGAUCCUAAUUAUACUUAAGCAUCAUAUAUGGACCUUAGAGACUAUCAAGAUCAUUCGGUUAGCCAAUAGACAAACUGCAGUUGCUAGGAAGUCAUGGUAAUCCGAGUGAUUGGACAAACAAAUUUUUGGCAUGACAAAGCUUCAUGUAGAAUUGAAUUUUGUCCACUUCGAAGUCCAUAAUUUUUUUUUGCAGAAACUUAUUUUGGAAUUUCUUUUCAAACUUAUCUAAAUUGGUGACCAAGUUGGCUGACCUUUUUUCUACACAAAAGAAGAGAUAGCAUAUGGAGAUUGUGAGUAGCAAAUGUAAGUACAUUUUGGUGGGAAAUUUGUGUCAUGUUCAUUCUUGGUAUAGACUUCCUAUUAUUAUCUUGGUUAUGCAUUGACUGUCUUUGUAUGAAUAAUGGUGCUAUGCUUCAUGAAUGAAAACACCUCUUGACAGAUAUCUCUUCUGCACUGCAAAAUCCACCAUCCUCAAGAAAGAUAAUGACUAUGAACUCUUAUGUUCUGAUUCUCUCAAUGCAGAUUGAUUAUUAUUUAAGAAAAUUUAAGGAGGAAGUCAUUUACUGGACGAAGUGCAAUGCCUUAACUGUAUCAUAUACAAAAAUGGUGUGUGAGUCCCUGAUUUGGUGGAGCAAUCUACCAAGCAGCAUGGAUUAAUCAAGAGAACUGAAUAGAGAAGCACAAAUUUGUUAGAUUUGCUUCAUUGUGCACUUGAGACUUCCACUUGCCAAAACACUGUCAUCAUGGGCAACUUCCAGAAUCGAAGAGGUUGCUUCUACAGGACCAGGAAUUUGAUUCUUCCAGCUCUAUGUGUAUAAGGAUAGGCACGUAGUUGCACAGCUUGUCCAAAGAGCUGAAAGAGCAGGAUUCAAGGCAAUACCACUUACAGUCGACACUCCAAGACAUGGCUGGAGAUAAGCAGACAUCAAGAACAGAUUCACUUUGCCACAAUUUUUGACACCCAAAAAACUUUGAGGGUUUGGACCUUGGAAAGAUGGACAAGACCGAUGACUCUGGCCUUCCUCAUAUGUAGCGGGUCAAAUUGAUCGAUCAUUAAGCUGGAAGCGAGACUUGCGAUUCAAGCGGGUGCAGCUGGUAUCACUGUCUCCAACCAUGGAGCUCGUCAGCUUGAUUACGUUCCAGCUACAAUCAGUGCACUGGAAGAGGUUGUCAAAGCCUCACAGGGCCGUGUUCCUGUCUUUCUCGACGGUGGCGCUCGCAGAGGAACUAAUGUGUUCAAGGCUUUAGCUUUGGGAGCCUCUGGUGUCUUUAUCGGAAGGCCUGUGGCGUUUGCUUUGGCUGCUGAAGGUGAAGCUGGAGUGAGGAAGGUGCUGCAGAUUCUGUGAGACGAGUUUGAGCUGACAAUGGCAUCGAGUGGGUGCACUUCACCGAGAGAGAUCACCCGAAGUCACAUAGUGACUGAGGCAGACAGCCAUCUCCCUGCAUGCCUCGAGGUUAUGAUGCUCCUGAGGUGAUUGCCGGCCUCGUUCAACAAGAACAGAUCUGCAUCAAUAUCUCUUGAUGUUGGACUCUCUUCUAAUCGUGGCAAUGUAAUCUAAUUUUGUAUGUAUAUUCUUUUAGCAUAUUUGGUCACCAAUCUGAUUCAAGAAUUGCCAGAUGAAGUAUAUAUGCCAAACGAGAGAUUCUCUGUCA